AUUAUUAUGCAUGCUGAAAAAUUCUGCGUGCGGAAAUUUCGUGAUGCUGAAAAUUUUCAGCAUGCUGAUUUUGUUAGAUCAAUCAUGCGAUGUUAGUUUUAAAAUUAUGAUAUGAUUAUGAUGUUUAAAAUUAAGGAAUUGCAUGAUCUGGAUCUCAGAUGGUUGCAUAAUAAAAUUAAAAUCAGAUUAGAUAAAAUCAUGCAUGAGAUGCAUGUGGUGAUGAUCAUAGGAUUCAAACCCUUUUGGUAUCGAAUGUAAUGACCUGCGAUGUGAUCUGCGAUGUCAUGUAAUUUUUCAGAUGCUUGCAUGCAUCUUAUUUAAUGUUAUGAGAGGCCUGCGUGCCUCCUAAAAGGAGAUGUAAAUUAUUUUUAUUUUUAUUUUUAUCUGGUUGUAUUUCUGUGAUGUGAUGUACGUCAACGAUCAAGUUGAAGACAAGGCAUGAGAUGAAAGGUGAUCUAAGCAGUUGAUGGCGAUGGGAUCAAGAGUUGAUCAAGGAUCGAAUCAAGGAGGCUUGGAACCAAUUCAAGAGUUGAAGACCACUUGAUCGAUUGAUGUGCAUGUGCUUGUAAUACGACCUAAUUAGAAUCCAUGAUCAUCACCUAGUUAAAGUUUAGCUUUAAUUUGAUGCUGCGAUUAUAACUGCCUGUGAUGUACCGUUUGCAUGUGAUGUGAAUGAGAGUCGGGUAGAUAGGUUUACAUGUGAUGUAGCAAAUCCAAUUAAGACCUAAAUCAAAACCUCCUCAAUCAAGUCGAGAGUGAACCGACAUGAGCAAGUCAUAUUAGAUUAAUUGAUCUAAUUGGUGUCUAGGAAAGCAUGAAAGGUGGUUACUUAAUUAAGACCUUACUCUCUGAGUAAGGGAAGCCUCCCACCUGCUUACCUGGCCAAUUGUUCGAUUACCUCUUAUGAAGAGCUCAAGUUGCAAACACUAAAGACCUGAUUAACCAAUAU
rnacentral:lncRNA from 1 species